UACAGGGGGGGCGAGCGUUGUUCGGAAUUACUGGGCGUAAAGGGCUCGUAGGCGGCCAACUAAGUCGGACGUGAAAUCCCUCAGCUUAACUGGGGAACUGCGUCCGAUACUGGAUGGCUUGGAUUUGGGAGAGGGAUGCGGAAUUCCAGGUGUAGCGGUGAAAUGCGUAGAUAUCUGGAGGAACACCGGUGGCGAAGGCGGCAUCCUGGACCAAUAUUGACGCUGAGGAGCGAAAGCCAGGGGAGCAAACGGG
rnacentral:rRNA from 1 species